GAGACCAAAGCUGCAGGAGAAUGGACAGGAGGUGCAGCGAGAUGGAAGGAUCUUGGAUUUGAUUGAUGACGCUUGGCGGGAAAACGAGCUGCCGUACAAGGAUGUUGCGAUCCCACUGAGUGAGCUUCCAGAGCCUGAGCAGGACAAUGGUGGCACCACAGAGUCUGUGAAAGAACAGGAGAUGAAGUGGACGGAUCUGGCCUUGCAAUGUCUCCACGAGAAUGUCCCACCUGCUGGAAACUGACGCUGGGUUUCUUUUUCUUGGUAGAGUUUUCAAAAAUAUGAUCAGAAAAUUAAACUCUCUGUCUGCACUGAACCAAAAAGAAUGAACAUGAGGCUUGCUCCUGUGCCCUUUCCAUGAGGCACACACCUUCAUUCCAUCUCCAUCCUAGACUCUGGUUUGAAAUGAGAAAGUCUGUUCCUCAGCUCCUUCCAGAAUCAAUCAACAGAGCAUAUUUCUAUGGUGUUCAGAAAAAUGCAGAAUGAAGAGACUUAUUUCUUCCUCAUCAAAAAUGUUGUCUCUUUCCUCAGAAUGGACGCUGAUCUAUGAACAACUUGAAGCAUGGGUUUUUGGUUUAACAAACCAAGAAAGAUGGCUCCAUCCCCACUGUGCUGUCCCCAUCCUCCUGCCAACUCCAGGUAUUUCUGGGCCGAAACCUCCCCUGGUUGGUGGUCUUUACCAGCACUGACAAGAAUUCCAACUCGUACUUUAGUGUGUCUUGGGGACAUGAUCUCAUCUGGAGCCUCCAGGUCUACUUUUGAGUUUUGGAUUAAACAUUGUUCUUAAAUGUUAAUUGGGAAUUAGGCUGGUAGGUGUUUAUAGGAACUUCAUUUUCAAAAAGAGAAGGAAUUUGUUUACAGCAUUUCCCUAAAAUGUCACCCCAUGUUAAAGAUUAGUCUUUUCCAGAAUGUUACUAUUUAACUGACUCUUCCAAGGAGACUAGUAAUUUAAUUUUAUAGAGUAAGUCUCAUCCCUGGGGCUCAAUAGCAAGCAAAGACUUAGAAACAUCCAGCAGUUUUGUUUCUUGAGCUAUUCUAUGACAUCUUUAAAUUGUAACAUGCAAU